rnacentral:rRNA from 1 species
UACGGGGGGGGAACCGAAGAACCUUACCUGGUCUUGACAUCCACAGAACUUUCCAGAGAUGGAUUGGUGCCUUCGGGAACUGUGAGACAGGUGGUGCAUGGCUGUUGUCAGCUUGUGUUGUGAAAUGUUGGGUUAAGUCCCGCAACGAGCGCAACCCUUAUCCUUUGUUGCCAGCGGUUCGGCCGGGAACUCAAAGGAGACUGCCAGUGAUAAACUGGAGGAAGGUGGGGAUGACGUCAAGUCAUCAUGGCCCUUACGACCAGGGCUACACACGUGCUACAAUGGCGCAUACAAAGAGAAGCAAUCUCGCGAGAGCUAGCGGACCUCAUAAAGUGCGUCGUAGUCCGGAUUGGAGUCUGCAACUCGACUCCGAUGAAGUCUGGAAUCGCUAGUAAUCGUGAAUCAGCAGUCGUCCGA